rnacentral:rRNA from 1 species
CCCUUAGAUGUUCUGGGCUGCACGCGUGCUACACUGAUGUUGCCAAUAUGUCAUUCUUAUCCGAAAUGGAUUGGGUAAUCAAGUAAUGAAAUUUCAUGCUUGGAAUCGGUAAUUGCAAUUUUAUCGUGAACGAGGAAUUCCUAGUAAGCACUAGUCAUCAGCUAAUGUUGAUUAUGUCCCUGCCCUUUGUACACACCGCCCGUCGCUACUACUGAUUGGGUGUUCAAGUGAGAUGCUUAGACCCUUGUUGCAUGGUUCAUUAUUGUGCUCCGAAAGGAAAAAGUUUCAAGCUUGAGUGUCUAGAGGAAGUAAAAGUCGUAACA